UGCUUUAUUUCAUGGAUGUGUUCUCAUACUUAUACAACUUGUAGUCAAAGAUACUAAAUAGAAAUGUAUGAAAAAGAGACAUAGAAAAUAGAUAGAAGACCAGAUCUAGUCAAAGCACAGAAAAUAAUGUUGACUGGUCGAUUUGAACCCUUCGGCUACCCUUGUCCAGAUUCAGUGCAUCCGACAGCACGUCCCGCGGUAAGGAGCAGUACACAGCCGGUACGGUCUUCAUGUUCGGACGGGUGAUUCUCAUGGACUGUUCCGGGCCAAUUGGAGGCUAUGUCAUCAGACAGCCUUAAGAGUCUUGCCUUAGAAAGAUUUGGCUGCUCAAAGUUCAUGAACUAAUCGAAGUGUCGGAUCACUUCAUUAGAACGAUCGUCGGCUCGGCCUAAACGACUUAAGAGAGAGAGGCCACAGUCGGAUUCGGAUUCUACUCUAUCAACUUCAGUUUUGGCUUGACCGAUGGACUUAGCAUGGCGAACAGGACGGGAAAGGCGAGCUUCAGUACGGUUGAUUUGGUCAUCUGGUCGCGGGUUAUGCUGAAGCUCCAAUCCGGACGUGUGCGGGUCGAGUCGGUACACGGCCCGAUCAGUCUGUCCUGUCCGAUCGAUGGACUGAACCUCAAUUGCAUUGUUCCGGACGUUCUGAACCUCAUUCUGAUCUGAUUCCAUGGACUGAUCCUCGGACUGGGGCACAUCACUUUUGUUGAUGAUAAACAGUACCUUAAGGAUUUUCAGAUAUCUGAGAGAAGCAUCCUCUGACUGGAAGAGAUGACAACCGGUUGACUACAGAAUCUGAAGAGAUGACAGAACGUUGAUAUCUCUCGAUAUGGUUGCACUUAUUACGGGAGAAAAAUAUUGAGGAGAAUUAGAAUGUAGAGUAAAGGAUUUUAAGUAAGUUACACACUCAGAAGGCCAAAACCAUUUGUUUAUCUAUGAGAUCCACACACAGUUGUCUGUGCACGUGCGACUAAUGGGGUGGUGGGUGCUGUUAAUCUGCUAAAAUCGAUGCUGGGUCGAGGUGAACUAUGAUAUACGUUGAUGAAUUACAAAUAUGGUGAAGAGAACCUCCAUUUUCUUUUCUGAUAGAGGAGCAAACAAUGAAAGAAAUGAGGAAUAAGAUCAGAAAUCACAUGUUCAUGCUUUUGAUCGUUUGAUGGAUAUGAGGUUAGCAAACUGGGUUGGAAAAACAAAUAUCUUCUGAAAUCCCAGUUGGCGAUUUUGGAAUUUAACCUGAACUGCUUGUGCUAAUGUCAAAGGAUCACAACCUGGUUUUACUUGAUUAAAAAAUCUCUAAUUCUCUUUGUUUAGUGAUCGCCUCCAGUUUCGUUUUUGUGACUUGAUGAAGGAGGCAAAAUAGAAGUUUUUCCUUAUAAGCACAACAAAAGGGUCUCUACCACUGAUACACCAUUCAACUUUAUUACGAGCUCUACAAUUAGCUACAUAUGUAUGCUGAUUAAGUUUGCCA